rnacentral:rRNA from 1 species
UACGUAGGCAGCAAGCGUUGUUCGGAUUUACUGGGCGUAAAGGGUGUGUAGGCGGUUCUUUAAGUUUGGUGUGAAAUCUCCCGGCUCAACUGGGAGGGUGCGCCGAAUACUGAGGGACUAGAGUACGGGAGAGGAAAGUGGAAUUCCUGGUGUAGCGGUGAAAUGCGUAGAUAUCAGGAGGAAUACCGGUGGUGUAGACGGCUUUCUGGACCGACACUGACGCUGAGACACGAAAGCGUGGGUAGCAAACAGG